rnacentral:lncRNA from 1 species
AAUCAGCCAAGAGGGUCCAAAAGAAAAAUAGCCCCACAUCUCAAGCCCAGCUUAAAAAGGACCUAAAUAGGCCAUCUACAGUAGUAGGCAGUCACAUAUUGGGCUACUUUCAGCCUUUUCAAAUGAUUUUGAUUCAGCCCAACCCAUUUUUCGGGUGGCUGACAUGUCGCCACAUGGACUCAGCCUACGUCGUCAUGGUGAUGAAGUGGGAAAUGUCGAUUGGUUGGUAAAUUAAGAAAGGUGGCACUCACUUCAGAUGGAAUGAAUUAUUUGUAGAGAUAAUAUAGAAGAAAUUGUUUGUCAACUCAGAUGAAAUGAAUUAUUUCUGAACAUAGAUUUGCGAUCUUAAACUUUGUACGCUAAAAGAGGGACGCUUAUGAACAAUGAGAAAUGGUGUACAAGGAGGGUGACCGUUGUGUCAUUUGAGAGUAUACUACAUCUGUAGAAUUAGAAGGACAUGAAUUGAAAACAAACAAAAGGACACAACUGUGCUGGCCUUAGAUGAGCGUAUGAGGAAGCCUAAGGAAAGGUAAAUGCAUGAAUUUAUGAUGGAAAAAGAGGAUAUCUUAAUAAUCAUUAGGAGUUUCUCAAAAAAAAGAAGUAUUGGGAAAGAAAAGAAAGAGGGACUAGAAAUUGAAAACAAAUAGAAACAUGUAGCUAAUGGAGGUGGAGGAGACUGUAAGACAACUUGAACGUUGUUAAAAGUGUUAAUUUGACAUUGCUUACUUAAGUCACCCAACUUUAGUAUAUCUAAUCUAAACGCUAUUUUAUCUAUUAUCAAUUGAUUUUAAGUUGGACCCUUCGAUCAAAAAUAGCAACUCCUCAAAAAAGAUGAGGAACUGGAGAACCUUGAAGGGAAUAAUCUGGCAUGUAACACCCCUUCUAUUUUAUUGAAUUAUUAGUAAUUGACCAUGCCCAUGAGUACUACGAAAAAAAAAUAUCACUUUUUAAGCGUACUCGUUAAAAUUUUAUAAUUUAAAAAAUAAAUAAAAUAUAAAAAUCAGAUAAAAGAUACAUUGUAUAUAUAUAUAUGAAGAAGCUAAUUGCUAAAAAUGAAGAAUAAAAUUAAAAAAAGUACAAUAAUUUGAAAAAGUCUGCUAGUUUGAGGAGAAAUGAGAGAGAAAAAAAUGUGUGUUUAAUUUUUUUUGUUGGGUAAAAAUAUGCCUGAGCUUAGAAGUUUAUUAGAUUGGAUAAAAAAAGAUCGUAGGCCCUAUACAUUGAGAAGAGAAAGUAAUAUAAUUUUUGAAAAAAAAAAGUCUUAGUGAAUCUCAACCAUUGAUUAAUUAAGGGGCUUACCUGUAGAUAGUGAGAGAAUAAUUUUUAGAUCAAAAAGCCAAACUAUCUUAUUUAUAGAUAUUGGAAGAUUCAAAAAUAUGGUGUGUCUUAACAAAGUCAUAAAAUCUUGAAUAAACUAACGGGGUUAUUGUGACAUUACUUUAUAACUAAAUAAAUGUACGUGGUUGAUCGAGUGCGGAGUAGUGGGUGUGCGUUUGCUGGCCAAUUUAAUUAGAUAUUCCACUAGUAUUACGGAGAAAGGUUAGGUAAACAAUCCGUAGAGAGAGAGGACGAGGCGGUGGAGAGCGGGCGGUUGUGGGCCUUCGGUGGCCGUUUCGGUGGAUAUUUUUUGGCGAGUAAGUUCGCUCCUACCCCUAUUUCUGAUGAUAUCCUUUUUAGAGAGUUGCAGGACGAUUGGUUCUUGCUGGGGUAGUGGGGUUUGUGUGCGUGUGUGUUUGAUAACCGCCAUUGGAUUUGCAGGGUUAUUGUGCUCGGGAGAUUGGGAUUUGUGAGGCUGUGUGCGCGCAUGUGAAAUGACGAAAGCAAUAGCAGGUGAGUGGGGAUUAUGGAAUGGUUUGGUAUGGUCAUGGACUGAUGGGUUUAAUCAUAGCAAUAGGUUUAAUAAUAGUAAUAACAAUAUAUGGUAAUAGUGGUGACAACAGUACGUGUGAUUCAUAAUGUGGGUUGGUUGAUAUGCCUAUCUAGGGGGAGAUAUACUUCGUCAUAGAACCAGGCAAUUGGAAGUGGUGUAGAAUAGAUAGAUUCCAACUCCUAAUACUGAGGCGGCAGAUUGGUUUUGACACUAGAAAAGAAUGGUCAGUAUUCGGGGCACCAUCAAAGGUUCAGAUCUUCUGUUUGUUAGCUCUGAUAGGAAACUAAGCUUACACAGGACCAUUUUGGUAAGAGUAUUAUCGCCCUGGAUUUUUAUGGAUGUCGUUGUGGACUAAAUGGUGAAUUUGCACCUCACACUUUUACUCUGUAUCGAAUUGUGGAAGGUAUGGAGUCCUUUGUUAAGUUGGUGGGUUAUCAUGGGUGAGUCCCAAUAAUUAAGAGGGGUUGGCCGUUCGGUGGUUUGCAUUGAGAUGAAAGGAUCUGGAGGAGGAGAUUCGGGAAGCCUUAUUCGUUGGGACAAUGUGGACCCUAUGGCUAAUCGAAAAUGGGGUAGUCUAACCAUAUGAAGGUUCGUGGAAGAUAUUGUGAGCUUGGUUGAAUUCAAUAACGCCGAUGUAAACUAUCGUUUUUUAAUACUUCUUGUACAAUUCAGGUUCCUAAAGAUAAAAAAGAACUGAAUGGGUUGCUCAGCGAGUCGAUCAAAUUUGAGACCAGCGUCUGGAGGUAGGAAAGGGGCGCUGCAAUAAAUACAGUCUGUUGUUCCUCUGUAUUUCUUGAGUAUUGUGAUGAGGGCAUAGUUGACACCUUGCCAAGUGAUGUGUCUUGUAUUAAAUUUUGGGAGCUUAUUGUUGAUUAGUGUGAGCAAAGGAAGGAGGAUCACGCUCUUGUAUUAGGGUAUAAUGUAUCUUUCCUUAACGCAAUAUUAUUCCGUUAGCUCAAAAAAAGUAAAGUGAAGAUGAAGUACGAGAGCUUACAGUUCCUAAGCUAUAUAAGUAAAGUUGCAACAAAUAGCACAUAAAAAACAAUCAAUCGAUUAAUGAAACAGAACUUACCUUUCUGUUGUUUUCCUUCGUACUUUUCUUGAGUAGGUGAGAGUGCAUAGGUGCCCCCUUUGCCAAGGGAUUGUCUUGUAUUACAUUUGGGAGCUUAUGUGAUUAGUGUGAGCAAAGGGAAGGAGGGUCAUGCUCUUGUAUUAGGGUAAUGUAGCUUUCAGAACGCAAUAUUAUUCCGUUAGCUCAAAAAAAGUAAAAGAUGAAGAUGAAGUACGAUAGCUUACAGUUCAUAGGAUAUAACGUAAGUGCAACAAACAACAAAUAAAACAAUCAAUCGAUAAUGCAACAGAACCUUACCUCAAAGAGGAUUGCAGAGUGGCCAUCAAAUAAAAACAACCAGAAGCUUCUUACAAUUUGCUGGUGCUGCAUAUUAAAGACAAAGAUCAGGAGAAGAAGAUGUUAAAUAACAAGAAGAAGAAAAAAUCUUUGACGAAAAAGAAGAAAGGUAAUCGU